rnacentral:rRNA from 1 species
GAUUAACGCUGGCGGCGUGCAUAACACAUGCAAGUCGAACGAUGAAACUUAGUAGACUUCUUCGGAAAGACACUAAGCGGAUUAGUGGCGAACGGGUGAGUAACGCGUGAGUAACCUGCCUUACACAAGGGGAUAGCCUUUGGAAACGAAGAAUAAUACCCUAUAAAACCAUAAAAGCACAUGCUAGAAUGGUCAAAGUGAUAGCGGUGUAAGAUGGACUUGCGUCUGAUUAGCUAGUUGGUGAGAUAAAAGCUCACCAAGGCAACGAUCAGUAGCCGGCUUGAGAGAGUGUACGGCCACAUUGGGACUGAGACACGGCCCAGACUCCUACGGGAGGCAGCAGUGGGGAAUUUUGCACAAUGGGGGAAACCCUGAUGCAGCGACGCCGCGUGAUUUAGAAGGCCUUCUGGUUGUAAAAAUCUUUUGUAUAGGAAGAAAAUGACAGUACUAUACGAAUAAGGUCCGGCUAAUUACGUG